CGUCUGGGAAAAACACUAAAAAGCUGCGCCGCAAUUCUCAAUACAAGACCCCUUUUCCCCCCGAUCGGUUUUCUCUUCUCUGGGACAGACUUGAAGAAAGCUUCAGCGACUUUCUGAGCUUCAGUAGCGAUAGACGAUCCCUCCCGAAGCUUCUUGUUCUUCGAACCAGCAUACCCCAUCGCCAGACCUCCCACCAGCGGCACCCCUGACUCCAUUUUCUUCAACCAUCAGCACACCCAACGUCGCCUUUACCUUAACUCACCAAAAACCAGCUCCACUCUUUAAAAUCUCAACGCUGAAAGACAUCGGAGAUCCCUUUCCUCUUCGUCACUUCUCAUCUGCUUUCAAGGCCAAAUGCAUACCAAAGAUCUAUAACUGUGCUUCUAC
rnacentral:lncRNA from 1 species